ensembl:lncRNA
AAGAGGAAGAGGAAGGAGCUAUCCAGUCCCCGGAAGAGGAAGGAGCUAUCCAGUCCCCGUAAGAGGAAGAGGAAGGAGCUAUCCAGUCCCCGUAAGAGGAAGAGGAAGGAGCUAUCCAGUCCCCGUAAGAGGAAGAGGAAGGAGCGCAGGACGUGUAGCGAGGCGCCCCCUACAGGACAGAUGUCCCAACUGCAGCCCUGAGUCUGAGGGGUGAUGGGAUCAGGUGAGGCCCUCGGGGAGAGGAGAAGACCCAGGUGUGUGUGUGUGAGGCUGUGUUGGUUCAGGAGAGGACCCAGAUGUGUGUGUGAGGCUGUGUUGGUUCAGGAGAGGACCCAGGUGUGUGUGUGAGGCGUGUCGGGGGCGGUGCAUUAGCUGGGGCGGAUCUCCAAACUGAGACAGAAUGAGAAGCAGGUGUGAAAGUGGAGACGCCCUCUGACCUCGACGUGUGAACUUUGACCUCCAUCUUGCUAAUCCUCACUAGAGCAGGACCAGUCGAGGCCACAAUACAGUACUUCUAUCUCCCUCUUCCC